CUUGUUGGGGUUGUAGGACUCCAAUAUGGUAGUCUGUUAGUAUAGUUGAAGGAUUUGGAAAAUUCCGCUAAAGAGGGUGAAAGCCCCGUAGACGAAAUGCUAAUAACACCUAGGAGGAUCCUGAGUACGGCGGAACACGAGAAAUUCCGUCGGAAUCCGCGGGGACCAUCCCGCAAGGCUAAAUACUCCCUAGUGACCGAUAGUGAACCAGUACCGUGAGGGAAAGGUGAAAAGCACCCCGGAAGGGGAGUGAAAUAGAUCCUGAAACCGUGUGCCUACAACAAGUCAAAGCUCGUUAAUGAGUGAUGGCGUGCCUUUUGUAGAAUGAACCGGCGAGUUACGAUUGCAUGCGAGGUUAAGUCGAAGAGACGGAGCCGCAGCGAAAGCGAGUCUGAAUAGGGCGAAUGAGUAUGUAGUCGUAGACCCGAAACCAUGUGAUCUACCCAUGUCCAGGUUGAAGGUGCGGUAAAACGCACUGGAGGACCGAACCCACGUACGUUGAAAAGUGCGGGGAUGAGGUGUGGGUAGCGGAGAAAUUCCAAACGAACUUGGAGAUAGCUGGUUCUCUCCGAAAUAGCUUUAGGGCUAGCCUCGGAAUUGAGAAUGAUGGAGGUAGAGCACUGUUUGGACUAGGGGCCCAUCUCGGGUUACCGAAUUCAGAUAAACUCCGAAUGCCAUUCAUUUAUAUCCGGGAGUCAGACUGCGAGUGAUAAGAUCCGUAGUCGAAAGGGAAACAGCCCAGACCACCAGCUAAGGUCCCAAAAUAUAUGUUAAGUGGAAAAGGAUGUGGGGUUGCACAGACAACUAGGAUGUUGGCUUAGAAGCAGCCACCAUUUAAAGAGUGCGUAAUAGCUCACUAGUCGAGUGACCCUGCGCCGAAAAUGUACCGGGGCUAAACAUAUUACCGAAGCUGUGGACUACACCAUUAGGUGUAGUGGUAGGAGAGCGUUCUAAGGGCGUUGAAGGUCGAUCGUGAGGACGGCUGGAGCGCUUAGAAGUGAGAAUGCCGGUAUGAGUAGCGAAAGACAGGUGAGAAUCCUGUCCACCGUAUGACUAAGGUUUCCUGGGGAAGGCUCGUCCGCCCAGGGUUAGUCGGGACCUAAGCCGAGGCCGAUAGGCGUAGGCGAUGGACAACAGGUUGAUAUUCCUGUACCAGUUGUUUUUGUUUGAACAAUGGAGGGACGCAGUAGGCUAAGGAAUGCAUGCGAUUGGAAGUGCAUGUCCAAGCAAUGAGUCUUGAGUAGAGUUAAAUGCUUUACUCUCUAAGGACAAGUUGUGACGGGGAGCGAAAUAAUAGUAGCGAAGUUCCUGAUGUCACACUGCCAAGAAAAGCUUCUAGUGAGAAAACAACUGCCCGUACCGUAAACCGACACAGGUAGUCGAGGAGAGUAUCCUAAGGUGAGCGAGCGAACUCUCGUUAAGGAACUCGGCAAAAUGACCCCGUAACUUCGGGAGAAGGGGUGCUGACUUCGGUCAGCCGCAGUGAAUAGGCCCAAGCGACUGUUUAUCAAAAACACAGGUCUCUGCAAAAUCGUAAGAUGAAGUAUAGGGGCUGACGCCUGCCCGGUGCUGGAAGGUUAAGAGGAUGGGUUAGCUUCGGCGAAGCUCAGAAUUGAAGCCCCAGUAAACGGCGGCCGUAACUAUAACGGUCCUAAGGUAGCGAAAUUCCUUGUCGGGUAAGUUCCGACCCGCACGAAAGGCGUAACGAUUUGGGCACUGUCUCAACGAGAGACUCGGUGAAAUUUUAGUACCUGUGAAGAUGCAGGUUACCCGCGACAGGACGGAAAGACCCCAUGGAGCUUUACUGUAGUUUGAUAUUGAGUGUUUGUACCACAUGUACAGGAUAGGUAGGAGCCGAUGAGACCGGAACGCUAGUUUCGGAGGAGGCGCUGGUGGGAUACUACCCUUGUGUUAUGAACCCUCUAACCCGCACCACUAAUCGUGGUGGGAGACAGUGUCAGAUGGGCAGUUUGACUGGGGCGGUCGCCUCCUAAAAGGUAACGGAGGCGCCCAAAGGUUCCCUCAGAAUGGUUGGAAAUCAUUCGAAGAGUGUAAAGGCAGAAGGGAGCUUGACUGCGAGACCUACAAGUCGAGCAGGGACGAAAGUCGGGCUUAGUGAUCCGGUGGUUCCGCAUGGAAGGGCCAUCGCUCAACGGAUAAAAGCUACCCUGGGGAUAACAGGCUUAUCUCCCCCAAGAGUCCACAUCGACGGGGAGGUUUGGCACCUCGAUGUCGGCUCGUCGCAUCCUGGGGCUGUAGUCGGUCCCAAGGGUUGGGCUGUUCGCCCAUUAAAGCG
rnacentral:rRNA from 1 species